AGAGGAGGAGCAGACACAGAGAGAUUGACUGACUUGCCCAAGGUCAUCACAGCAAGUGAAGGGGAAAACAGAGGACUCAACCGCUUCUGAUGACCAGUGGUGUUCAAUCAACUGGCUUCACCCUGAAUAAAAGAGCAGUGAGGGGUGUGGGUUCAAAUCCCACUAAGGCAGUGUCUCGGAGACCAGUCAUUCUCCGCCUGUAAAUACGGGCCUCUCCGUGAUGAGAACCUGAGGCAGAGAGGGAGGAGACAGCUUGAUCAAGGAGCCACAACUCGUCAGCCUCCGAGGCUGGGAUGUGAAGAGACUCCUCGUGUUGAAAUCGCAACCUCAGGUCACUGCUCCAAGGCUGUCCUCAGUUUAAAGGUUUUAUAAGAAAAGCCGGUGGGCUCCCAGGCAAAGUUAAAAAGGUGCCUGUUUAAUUUGGAGGAACACAUGCAGCUUCUCAGAUGCAAGCCCACAUGUCAGAUUCAGUGAGCAGGUAAGGGUUGGUUGUUGAUUACUUCAAACACAGCCCCGGGACCCAGGACCGCACGACCGACCGCUGGCAGCUCACAGUUUCCUUUGGGGAAAGAACGCGGGGCUUUUCUGCGAGAAAUCCCCGGGUGGUCUGGAUCAAAGCUGGGUGAUCCUGCCUGCUUUUUCCCCUGAGAGAGGACUCCACAGGAGUGCAGACUUCCAUUCAGGGCCUUGGAAUACAGGUGCGUUCCCACUCAUCUCAUUUCAUUAUCCCACAGCACCUACUGGGGAGCUUUGUAGAUGAACAGGCUGAGGCUCCCGGGGGUUAAUAGCUUUGCUCUCAGUUACACCGAUCUCAGUGCUGGAGUCUAGAUUCAAACUGAGGGCUGUCUGGUCUCAAACCUACAUGUGUCUGCCUGUUUCCUCUGGGGCGACGUCAUAGGGAGCACAUUGUGUAUGCUGCUGGAAUUGAAGCAGGAGCCGCGGGCAGGAUGGCUGCCAAGGUGCUUUCAAAGUCCAGAGACCACACUGAUGAUGGCCAGCUGCCUGAGGGUCGCUCUACCUCUCUCCCUCUCUCUCACUGAAGCCUCAGCACCAUCCUGGAAAGUGGGUGCUGUCAUCGUACCCAUUUCAUGAGGCAGGAAGCUGAGCCCAGCGUGGAAUCAGAAAGCCUAGUCCGUGGAUGCUGGGUGGCGGUGCCCAGGUGAGCGGUCUCCGCCGUGGCCUGCAGGCUGCAGGCUGACAGGACCUAAAAGAAACAACACCCCAGUAACAAUGAGCACAUCUAGUACCCAGAUCUUGGUUUCUAACCAUUCUUCAAUACAAGGAACAAGGGCUUCUGGGUGAAAUGCCUGACUCCAGGACUAGAGAAGGAAAUAUGCAAGAUGAGCCUGAAGCAGAAAGUAUGGAAGUGCUGCUCUGUGGACAUGAUGGGGAUAUUUCAAAGGAGCACAAGGGCUAAAUGGAAGGGCUUUCAAAGGCCAGAGCUAGAACAAUUGAAGCAACACAAUGUAGUGUUGGAUUAAAACCCAAAGUAGGAAAUAAAUAUUCAUGAGCCCAUACUUAUCUCAAUAAAUAAUUGAAUAAGUUAACAAAUCAGGGCGAGGAGACAAAUUUCCUGGGUGGAAGAACUCCAAACAAUCAUGUAGCUACUCUGCCUUCAAGGAGAGGGAAGCAUAACUCAGACUCCUUAAAUGUGGUCUGUGAACAGUGACUUUCCUCCAAAGAAUAAGGGUAAAGGGGGUGGGGUGGGGGGGACGAGUGAUAUUACAGUGGAGAAACCUGACAAGCACAACCUCAACCUCGCCAAGUGGUCAAGUCAACAAGAAGUCAUAAAUCAUGCUGAUAGUAUGUCCCCUUGCUAUGAUAGGACACAACUGGCACUUUACCACCCAAGGACCCAUAACCCUGGACUAGUCAUGAGGAAAAAAAAAACACCGUGUUCCAAUAGAGGGGCGUCCUACAAAAUACGUGACUGGUACUCCUCAAAACUCAAGGCCAUCAAAAAUAAGGAAGGUCUGACAACUGUCACAGCCAAGAGGAGCCUAAGGAGACAUGACAACAAAAUGGAAUGUGGUGUCCUGGCUGGGAUUUUGGAGCAGAAAAAGGAGACUGGGUAAAAACUAAGGAAAUCAGAAUAAGCUAUGAGCUUUAGUUAAUAAUCAUGUAUAAAUAUUGGUUCACUGAUAGUAAUAUACAAUACUAAUGCUUAAUGUUAAUAAUAGAGAAAACUGAAGUGGGGUAUAUGGAAACUCUGUAUUAUGCUUUCAAUAUUUUUGUACAUCUAAAACUGCUCUAAAAAUACAGGCUAUUUUUAAAGUUAAUGAAUAACUUGUUAUCAAUUUAGCUUUAUAAAUUAUUGAGAAGUUGCUAUGUUUACUAUGUCCCAGGCACUGUUACAUUUGGGGAGCUCAAGAUUUUUGUUUGUUUGUCAAUUUAUUUAAUUUCAAAUCCCAUGGAGCUGUUAUGCAUAUCAAAGAUGAGAAUACAGGUAAAGUGAUUAGAACAGUGGUUGGAACC